rnacentral:rRNA from 1 species
AAGAGAUGUGUGAUGACGCAUAUCAAUAAGCGGAGGAAAAGAAACUAACAAGGAUUCCCCUAGUAACGGCGAGUGAAGCGGGAAGAGCUCAGAUUUGAAAUCUUCAAGGGUUUCCCUUGACGAAUUGUAGUUUAAAGAAGUGUUUUCUGUUAGAGAGGUGGUAAAAGUUCUUUGGAAUAGGACAUCAUAGAGGGUGAGAAUCCCGUAUUUGAUCACUUUCUACUAACGUUGUGAUACACUUUCAAAGAGUCGGAUUGUUUGGGAAUGCAGUCCAAAAUGGGUGGUAUAUUUCAUCUAAAGCUAAAUAUUGGCGAGAGACCGAUAGCGAACAAGUACCGUGAGGGAAAGAUGAAAAGAACUUUGAAAAGAGAGUUAAACAGUACGUGAAAUUGUCAAAAGGGAAGCGUUUGACACCAGUGUUGUUUUUCCGAAAAUCAAUUAUGAAUGGCUUGAUUUUAAGUUUCAUGACCUUAAAAGCUUGUUUCUUAUUUUUCAUGUCUUUCGUAAUGCACUUUUCGGUUAACAAGUCAACAUCAAUUUCUUUUGUUGUAAAAGGUUAAGAGGAAGGUGGCUUUACUUUCGGGUAAAGUGUUUAUAGCCUUUUAACUCUGCAAUCGGAGAGAUUGAGGUCUGCAGCGUAGAUCCUUCGGGGUUAGAUACAUUUGUGCUAAGUUAUAGCUUUUCAUAGACAACUUGUUGACUAUGUUUAGUCUUGUGACUUACUCGCUGACGCUAUUUUACCUACGCUUAGGAUGUUGAAGAUGUAGCACAUCAU